rnacentral:lncRNA from 1 species
UGGCUUGGCACCUUUGACACUGCUGAUGCGGCCUCCGCCGCCUACCAGUCUGCCUCCCGCAACUUCGCCGAAGAGAAGCGCCGCCGUGGUGUGGCCUCCUCUGCCUCACCUGCUAGUUCGGCGACCCCUACUCCGACUGCGUCCUCGUCGUCCUCGACUUCUGCCGCGCCAUUCGCCCACCCUUCGCCGUCGUCUGUGCUCGAAGCCACCAAGCCAGCUCCAAAGCCAGAGUCGCCGCCGCUGCCGGAGCAAGCUGCAACUCCCCUCCUGGUGGAGGCUACCAACGAGACCGCCGAGCUGCCGGAUGACCCAGAGUUCUACAAGGAUAUACUGCGCGGUCUACAGCUGCCGGACAUUGACCCGAUGGAUUUCCGAGCUGGGCUG